GGGUGUUCAGCUUUGUGGUCUUAGUUUUGCAAAAACUAUUGAGAGUUUAAUUAUAACUCAUCACCCU
rnacentral:tRNA from 1 species